UGCACAUUUUCAGGCCUAUCUCCUUGAGGAAUUGAUGCGUUGGAAUGAUGACCGAAUGGAAGAUGCCAUAAAACGGGCGUCCUCCAUUCGGACAUAUGGCAGUGCCAUGAGAGAGGCUGUGGACCGGCUUAGCCGAACAGUCUUUGGGAAGCCCUGGGAUGAGCGCUAUCGCCCUCCUGGAGCAUAUACAGGUGAAUUGCUGGGAAUCGAGCACCUUUACAGCCAGACUGGCAAAACACUGACUCCAGUGCUCCAGAACCCAGAGGAGGAAGACCGGCUGGUGGAGGAGGUUGAUGAUCAGGACCUGCUAGAUGAGGGGUUUGAGGAGGAGAGCAUGGAGGACAUCACAGUUCCAGUGCUGUAUGAGGAUGACCCCUGCCGUGAGCUCAGAAACAGCCCCUCAUCUUGGCCUCUGCCUCAGUCCCCAGCAUCACUGGCUGAGCCGUCCACAUCAUCUGGAGGAGAGGGACAGCAUCUCGCCCCUGCCUCUUCAGUGCUGUCACAGCCAUCUGACACUGGAAGCAGUGUCUCCGGCGAGGCUCAGGGAGCAGUCAUUGGACCUGAUGGCAUCGCUGGGUGGGACAAGGUCCAGGAUCUGGCUGGUUUCCUGGUGGGUCUUCGUGAGGCUCCUUACCUCACCGACCUGCAGGUGACAGAGGCCAUCCAGCUGUGGACAGCUCUCCCUGACGUUGAUAAACAGCGGGUCAACUAUCAGCCUCGACAUCAGCCUCAGCUGACACAUGGGCGCUUUAAGGCACCGAAGCGGUCACACCGGGUGUGGAGAGUGUGAAACGGUGUCUGAUUGGACAUCCUGGGGGUCCAGCACAGUGGCCCAGCACCAGCCGCUUGGUUGAGGCCAUUUGUAUGAAGCUGUGUGCUUUACACAAGUCACCGACCAAGAAGGCUGGAGUUUGCACCCCCAGGUGGUCUGAAAUCCUUUCAGAUUACCACCACAUCCGAGACCUGGUGCUUAACAGUCGAAGGCUGAUGGAUGAAACAAUGAUCCAGCUGUUUGAGCUGAACCAGAGGACACUCAUUCAGUGGUUUCAACGGCAGCAGAAGAAUCAGGAAAUGAGUGUCCUCGCCCAGGGACUGACUCCAUCUGACCCAAUUGAUGUGGCUGAUACCCAGCUUCCUCUGCCGAGGGAAAAAUUGGAUGACGUGCCAUCAACAUCAGGCCCAAAACAUCAAUUUAUCCUUCCGCCAAAUCGAGAAGGACAGGCUCCAAUUCUGCGACCUGGUCGCCGGCCCACUGCUGCCAAAAGGGAGUGCCCUAUC